GGCUCGGGUGGCCUAGAGGUUAGAGCGUCUGUCUUGGCUGCGGGAGGUCGUGUGUUCGAUGCCAGACCGAGUCA